rnacentral:rRNA from 1 species
GAUGAACGCUGGCGGCGUGCCUAAUACAUGCAAGUCGAGCGAACGGACGAGAAGCUUGCUUUUCUGUUGUUAGCGGCGGACGGGUGAGUAACACGUGGAUCACCUACCUAUAAGACUGGGAUAACUUCGGGAAGCCGGAGCUAAUCCCGGAUAAUAUUUUGAACCGCAUGGUUCAUAAGUGAAAGACGGUCUUGCUGUAACUUCUCGAUGGAUCCGGGCUGCAUUAGCUAGUUGGUAAGGUAACGGCUUAUCAAGGCAACGAUGCAUAGCCGACCUGAGGGGGUGAUCGGCGACACUGGAACGGGAACACGGUCAUGGCUCCUGCGGGAGGCAGCAGAAGGGAAUCUUCCGCAGUGGGCGAAAGCCUUACGGAGCAGCGCCGCGUGAGUGAUGAAAGUCUUCGGAGCGGAAAGCUCUGUUAUGAGGGAAGAACAUAUGUGUAAGUAACUGUGCACAGCGUGACGGUACCUAAUCAGAAAGCCACGGCUAACUACGUG